AUGAGCAAAGCUUAUGAAAGGGUAGAAUGGUGUUUCCUAAGGAAACUGCUGAGCAAAUUAGGCUUCUGUGAUGCUUUUGUUGAUUUGAUCAUGCAGUGCAUGGAAUCAGUGAAAUACACCAUUAAAGUAAAUGGAGAGCUAACUGAAGAAAUUGUGCCAGAAAGAGGACUAAGGCAAGGGGAUCCUUUAUCCCCUUACUUGUUCAUCAUUUGUGCUGAAGCUUUCUCCUCCAUGUUUUACAAGGCUGAAGAAGAGGGCACAAUGAAAGGAGUCCGUGUCUGCCAAAAAGCUCCGAGCAUCUCACAUUUAUUCUUUGCGGAUGACUCACUUAUCUUAUGUAGAGCUAAGAAAAAUGAUAUCAUGAAGUUAAAGGAAAUAUUAUCCACAUAUGAGUCUCUCUCGGGUCAAACUAUAAGCAAGGACAAAACAACAAUCCUAUUCAGCGAAAAUACGACCGAACAGUGCAGGAAGGAAUUCAAGGAUGCAUUAGGAAUAUGGAGUGAGACAACAAAUGAGCAAUAUCUUGGGCUACCAGUGCACAUUGGAAAAUCAAAAGUGAAAAUUUUCAGUUUUCUGAAGGAUAGAAUAUGGAAGAAGAUACAGGGAUGGAAAGAAAAGAUGUUGUCUCGUGCCGAAAAAGAGAUUCUCAUUAAAGCGGUAGCUCAGGCAAUACCGACAUAUACAAUGAGCUGCUUUGAGAUAACUAGGACAAUUUGUGAGAAAAUUUCCUCUCUAAUUGGUAGAUAUUGGUGGAGCAGUCAGGAGAAGGACAAUAAAAUUCAUUGGUUAAGUUGGGACAAAUUAACUAGGCCAAAGGGAGAAGGUCGAUUGGGGUUGAGGGACUGCUAUGCUUUCAACAUAGCCAUGCUGGCAGGCAGGGCUGGAGACUUUUAA
rnacentral:rRNA from 1 species